GAAAAAUGAAGAUUUAAAACCCCAUCAAAAUUUUCACGUUCUUAUUUUGUUCCCUCUCAUUCUUUUGGAGGGAAAUGAAAAUCUAAACUUUUAACUCCUUUCUCCAAAAAAAAAAAAGAAAGAUCCAGAACUAAACUUUUAACUCCUCAAGACUCCUCUUUAUGCCCUUCUUAUUCGGUCUAUAAUUCUUCCAAAAAGCUCAACCAAUCUUUUGGAAAUUUUUUAAGUAAAGUUGAAAUUAGCUUCUUGCUUGACGCUGAAUUCUGGCAAAAGGAUAUGUACUCCCUCUCUUUCUGUUAUAUGCUUGGUCAUACAUAUUUCACCAGAGAGAGUUCAACAGAAGGCAGCCCCAGAUUGUGUCAGUCUCGGAGAGAUUGUAGUUUGAUUCAAGACGAUAGGAAAAUAGAAAAGAUCAAGAAAGGGAGGCAACCACUACUGGAAGAGCAUCUGUUUAGGUUCAAGACUUUUGGAGACAGAGGAGGGUAGCACGAAUUCCAAAAUCAAUAUGUGAAACAGCGAGAAGUUCUGUAUUUUAUGCCCUCUUUGGCUUGUUGGGAGAUUGGAGAAUUGCUAUACUUUUGUGGUAGAUAUGCUGCAUGUUUUGAGCAGAGAUACACAAAGCAGAAGGUCAUGUUGUCUUUGGCUAGAGACCUGUUUUUUUCCACAACAACUACCAAAUGUUUGUGGUUCUCUUUCAAAGUUUUUGUUGUAUUUUAUGUUGAAGAUAGUUUUUCUCCAUUUUAAACAUGGAUUUCAUCUUUUGAAGACUAAUGGUUAUACAAGAUUCAUAUUGACGAUUUGUUUGGAUUUGAAUGGUAUUAAUCACUUUUUCU